CUGCUGGUGUCCACUGGGUGACCUUUUGAACAUGGAGAGGGUUGUAGAUUAGCUACACCUGUGCAGGACCACGAGAAUCGCAUCUUUUCGCAAUCAACUUUCCCCCACGCCCCCUCUCGCCUCAGCCAGCCCCCCUCUGCUUCUUCAUUGGUCAUCCCCUGAAUACUCCACCCGCUUGUCUUCUGGGACGUGUAUUUGAGGCUUGUUCUCCCAUUUCCUCGCCUUGCAAGUAAACUGUCUUCUCUGCGAGCCUCGGUGACUCAGCGUUUUGGCUGGCUCUGCCUCCCGAAAAAUGAACCUGGCUCAGUAACAAAUUUGGUGGGUCAACCAGGAGGGACCAGGUUUAGGAAGAAGGAGCAACAGAGAAUGAGACAACAGGCCACUCCGCUGACGGCUGCCUUAGCACAUUUGGUCCACAGAGCUGGACCAAAUCAAGGACCCCCAUGAGGGACUUGGCAAAAGAUUGCAUCUUGCAUCAAAGCACCAUUGCAAAUGGAAUAUAAGAUACAAAGAAAUGAACAUAGUUUCUUUUUGCUUCUCCUGUUGCCAUGUGGAGACAACCUAGUGGAAAAUCUCAGUGGAGAAAGUCAUCCAGCUGUGAAGACCGUUCCUUCGGGAAACAAUGAUGUCUUUAGAAAAAGGAGAGACAGUGAAAUGUUUUCUUCUCCUUAACAUGUUUUAUUCAAACUGGAAAAUUCCUAAUGAAGAUAUUUUAUCUGCAGUUACCAUGUUCAUCUCAUUUCCUUGCAAGGUGUACUGAGCUGAUGAGACAGAUGUUUAAAUAAGACUGCCAUGGAUACUAGGUAAUAAUGGUAACAGGUUGCUAAUACAUGGUGCUUAGAAUGUGCUCGGUAUUAAUCAAAGUGCUUGGAAAUAUUAGUCCACCACAACUCUUUGAGAUAGACACCAUUAUCUCCAUUUUACAGAUGGGGAAAGUGAGGCACAGAGAGGUCAACUAAUUUGACCAAGUUCACACAGCUAGUAAGUAGAAGAGCUGGGUUUGUUUGUAGUCUAGAAGUUGUGUCUGACACUUUUGCAACGCUAUGGACUAUAGCCUGCCAGGCUCCUCUGUCCAAGGGAUUUCCCAGGCAAGAAUACUGGAGUGGGUUGCCAUUUCCUUCUCCAGGGGAUCUUCCCAGACCAAGGAUCAAACCCAUGUCUCCUGCGCUGGCAGGCCAAUUCUUUACCCCUGAGCCACCAGGGAAGCCCAUGUGAUGGGAAUAGAAGAGCUGGGAUUAGACACUAAAUACUUACGGCUCUAGAUCCAAACUCUUAUUCACAACCCUCUAAGCUUAUAUUUUUAUGUACUUAAAAAUAUAUAUACAUAUAUAGAUAGGCAUUAAGCUGUGAAAAAAAGGACUUUAGUUCUCACGUAUGCACUAAGGACAAGGAUUUAGAGCAUUUCCCCAAUGAAAUGUUUGCCUUGUCAACUCAGAAAAAGAAUUCCUCUAUUUUUUAGCCAACAAUUUUCCAAGAAGAAGAUGGUAGAAUACCUAAGACAUGCCAUCACUGAACGAGGCGUUUUUCUCAUCACUUGAGCAAUGAAUCUGACUUUGUUUCUGGUAUAACAAGAACAUCAUCAGUGCAAACGGAUUUACAUGCAUCAAAGAUUGUGUUUUGAAAGGAAGUGUCUCACAGGACUGAAUCCGUCAGUUCCUUAGAUAGUUAAUUUCAGGGGUUCACAAAACAAAGAUUCUGGGGUCUCUUUCCUAUAUAAGUCACAGAAACAUGAAAGCUGACAGCAGUCUACUUGUCUUGAUGUCAUGGUUUUAAUCAAAAGAAUAAAUUUUAUGUAAAUCAAGUAAUCUGAACGUCAGUUACUUUAUCUGUAUAAGAGGUUUUAUUUAUUUAGAUGUUUUAAAUAGUCCUAAAUCACUGGGUUAUUAUUGAAAAAUCACAUAAAAUAGUUGUAAAACCAUUUUGUACAUUGUGAGAUUUAUAUAUUAGUGACUAUUGUUUUUAUAACUGAGGGAUAUUUCAAAUAAGUUGAUUAUAAAGUUAUUUUAAGACAGAAGAAAGAUAAGGACACUAAUUCUAACAAACUCAAACAUAUAUUUGACUCUUAUUCAUUUUUGUAUUAAUAAAACACCUUUACAUUAUGAGGA